GAUUAAGUGGCUGAAGUUUAGGCGGUAGAUUGUAAAUCUAUUUAUAAGAGUUAUUCUUCUUAAUCA
rnacentral:tRNA from 1 species